rnacentral:rRNA from 1 species
GAAUCUUGCGCAAUGGGCGAAAGCCUGACGCAGCAACGCCGCGUGCGGGAUGAAGGCCUUCGGGUUGUAAACCGCUUUCAGUGGGGACGAAAUUGACGGUACCCACAGAAGAAGCCCCGGCUAACUACGUUCCAGCAGCCGCGGUAACACGUAGGGGGCAAGCGUUGUCCGGAUUUAUUGGGCGUAAAGAGCUCGUAGGCGGUUCGGUAAGUCGGGUGUGAAAACUCAGGGCUCAACCCUGAGACGCCACCCGAUACUGCUGUGACUCGAGUCCGGUAGGGGAGCAUGGAAUUCCUGGUGUAGCGGUGAAAUGCGCAGAUAUCAGGAGGAACACCAGUGGCGAAGGCGGUGCUCUGGGCCGGAACUGACGCUGAGGAGCGAAAGCGUGGGUAGCAAACAG